rnacentral:tRNA from 1 species
GCCGCUGUGGUGGAAUAGGCAGACACACAGCACUCAAAAUGCUGCGCCUAAUAGGCAUAUCGGUUCGACUCCGAUCAGCGGCACCA